AAAUCAUGUUGAGGGAAAAUUUGUAACAUCCCUUCGUAGCGUUCCCAAGCUUCAUAUAGCGACUCUCCACCGAGUUGUUGAAAGUUUUGGAUAUUCUUCUUCAAUUU